rnacentral:rRNA from 1 species
UACGUAGGGUGCGAGCGUUAAUCGGAAUUACUGGGCGUAAAGCGUGCGCAGGCGGUUCGUUGUGUCUGAUGUGAAAGCCCCGGGCUCAACCUGGGAAUGGCAUUGGAAACUGGCAGGCUGGAGUGCGGCAGAGGGGGGUGGAAUUCCACGUGUAGCAGUGAAAUGCGUAGAGAUGUGGAGGAACACCGAUGGCGAAGGCAGCCCCCUGGGCCGACACUGACGCUCAGGCACGAAAGCGUGGGGAGCAAACAGG